ACGGGUGAGUAACGCGUGGGAAUCUACCCAUCUCUACGGAACAACUCCGGGAAACUGGAGCUAAUACCGUAUACGUCCUUCGGGAGAAAGAUUUAUCGGAGAUGGAUGAGCCCGCGUUGGAUUAGCUAGUUGGUGGGGUAAUGGCCUACCAAGGCGACGAUCCAUAGCUGGUCUGAGAGGAUGAUCAGCCACAUUGGGACUGAGACACGGCCCAAACUCCUACGGGAGGCAGCAGUGGGGAAUAUUGGACAAUGGGCGAAAGCCUGAUCCAGCCAUGCCACGUGAGUGAUGAAGGCCCUAGGGUUGUAAAGCUCUUUCAACGGUGAAGAUAAUGACGGUAACCGUAGAAGAAGCCCCGGCUAACUUCGUGCCAGCAGCCGCGGUAAUACGAAGGGGGCUAGCGUUGUUCGGAAUUACUGGGCGUAAAGCGCACGUAGGCGGAUUGUUAAGUUAGGGGUGAAAUCCCAGGGCUCAACCCUGGAACUGCCUUUAAUACUGGCAAUCUCGAGUCCGAGAGAGGUGAGUGGAAUUCCGAGUGUAGAGGUGAAAUUCGUAGA
rnacentral:rRNA from 1 species